UGGUUUUUAAGCUAAUGAAUUACUUCGUAUUUGAUGUUAUUGUCGUAUUCGAAUUCGAUAUAGACUCGGGUUUUAUAUGUAGAGAAUUGUUGAUAUGUUGUUGUAUGAAUUCAGAUAUAGAAUCGGUUUUUUGUAUAUGGAUAAUUGUUGAUAUGAUAUGAUAUGAUAUGAUAUGAUAUGAUAUGAUAUGAUAUGUAUGUUUGUUUCAUAUGUAGUUGAGGUGAGGAGUGGAGCUGAUGGAUUUAUGAUCAAAAUGAGG
rnacentral:lncRNA from 1 species